CCCGCCUGUGGGGACCUACGGGCUUCCUGCUCAGAGAGAGGCAGAUGAGCCCCACGUUGCUACCGCGGUCGUCCAUCCCGUGCUCUUGUCUGUGCCGGCAGCUGGCAGGGGACGCUGCGGCCGCCGUGCAUGAUGGAUCAUGAGGCGCAGUCACGGAUGUUUAUCCUCCAGUGACCUUGUCUCUCUUGUGGCUGCUGAGGAGAUGCACAUGGGGCGUGAUCAUUCGUAUUGAUCAAUGUGCUGCUCAUUUGCCACGUCGUCAAUGUUUUCACACAGGGUCCACUUUACUCUUCCAGGCAGGAAAGCGGCUGCACCGACCUGCUCUGCGGCCAGGAAGGAGGGGACAGAGUCGACUCCCAGGGGGCCUGGGGGGAGCGGGAGUCUGCUCUGGCUCAGGAAGGCUCUAGAAGGGCCACCAAGAGCAGCCGCAACAGUGCACAAGGACCUUGUGAUGAGAGCUACCUGAGCGAGUCCCACCCUGAUCAGACGCACCGUGUAGGGGGAGCCGGGGCCCCAUUGCAGCUGCCUCGGGGAAGCAGUGACCACAGGCCCGGCUGAACCUGAUGGUGACGGGGAAGGGAGGGACUGGUGUGCACACAGGUGUCCAUGUGCCUGUAUGUAUGCAGGUGUGUGUGUGACACACACAUACAUGUGAUAUAUGCAGGCGUGUGUGAGACACACAUACCUGUGGUGUAUGCAGCUGUGUGAGACACAUACAUGUGAUAUAUGCAGGCGUGUGAGAUACACAUACAUGUGACAUAUGCAGGCGUGUGAGAUA
rnacentral:lncRNA from 1 species